rnacentral:rRNA from 1 species
CCUACGGGGAGCAGCAGUGAGGAAUAUUGGUCAAUGGACGCAAGUCUGAACCAGCCAUGCCGCGUGCAGGAAGACGGCUCUAUGAGUUGUAAACUGCUUUUGUACGAGGGUAAAUCCCGAUACGUGUAUCGGGUUGAAAGUAUCGUACGAAUAAGGAUCGGCUAACUCCGUGCCAGCAGCCGCGGUAAUACGGAGGAUUCAAGCGUUAUCCGGAUUUAUUGGGUUUAAAGGGUGCGUAGGCGGUUCGAUAAGUUAGAGGUGAAAUCCCGGGGCUCAACUCCGGCACUGCCUCUGAUACUGUCGGGCUAGAGUUUAGUUGCGGUAGGCGGAAUGUAUGGUGUAGCGGUGAAAUGCAUAGAUAUCGCGCAGAACUCCGAUUGCGAAGGCAGCGUACCGGCGCCAGACUGACGCUGAGGCACGAAAGCGUGGGGAUCGAACAGGAUUAGAUACCCGAGUAGUC